ACACAUUCCCUAAUGCCUACAGCAUCCCAUUGGUGGCCUCCCACUGAGCAUGCACAGACCUGGGAUGGACAAGCUUCGUGGAUAGAUUGAUGCAGUCUCUCUGCCCCUCCCCUCCAAUGAAUCCCUGAAUGGAAGAAACUGAGACCUGAUGCAGUCCAGGACUCUGUCACAUACAUGCCAAAAUCAGCCAAUCUGAAGAAUGGCUGGCCAUGUCCACUGGGCUGGUGGAUUCCUGACUGCAGCCUCUAAAGAGGGAGAAGUACCCAUCCUCUACUGAACCUCUUCACUCUUGUGCUACCUGCAGAACCACUGGAUACCUUCCUUCCCCUCUAAAGCAGAGAGCCGAAUGCCAGCAUUUUGUCUGUGUGAACCUCUGUCAUGAUGACAACUGCUCUUCUGUACCUUCCUUGCCGUCAGAGACUGAGUGUUUUAAAACCAUGUUCAAAAAGAAGUCCUCCCAUGUUUCUGGGGGUGGGGGAGGGGGGUGAGGGGAGGCACAGAGAUACAAUGUAACCAGUAUAGUAAGAAGUAGUAGCAUGUAUACUUGCAGGAGAAACAAUGAAAGUCAAGACAUUUAUCUCAUUCCCAA